rfam:Pyronema omphalodes CBS 100304, CBS100304, WGS project CATG01000000 data, contig: Pcon_v1_contig1102
GCUUGCGUGGCCAAGUGGUAAGGCGUCCCACUCGUAUGAUAUGGGAAGAUCAGCGGUUCAAUUCCGCUCGUGAGCA